rnacentral:rRNA from 1 species
UACGUAGGGUGCUAGCGUUGUCCGGAAUUACUGGGCGUAAAGGGCUCGUAGGCGGCCAACUAAGUCAGACGUGAAAUCCCUCAGCUUAACUGGGGAACUGCGUCUGAUACUGGAUGGCUUGGAUUUGGGAGAGGGAUGCGGAAUUCCAGGUGUAGCGGUGAAAUGCGUAGAUAUCUGGAGGAACACCGGUGGCGAAGGCGGCAUCCUGGACCAAUAUUGACGCUGAGGAGCGAAAGCCAGGGGAGCAAACGGG